UCGGGAGCAUGCAAGUGGAGUGGGAAGGCCUUUUGGGUACUCGAGCGGUGNACGGGUGAGUAACACGUGAGUAACCUGCCCCUGACUCUGGGAUAAGCCUGGGAAACCGGGUCUAAUACCGGAUACGACCAUUUCUCGCAUGGGAUGGUGGUGGAAAGUAUUUUCGGUUGGGGCUGGACCACCUCCUAAAAUUACGUCGGAAUGGAUGGACCCACCUCUAUGGACGACGACGGGUAGCCGGCCUGAGAGGGCGACCGGCCACACUGGGACUGAGACACGGCCCAGACUCAUACGGAAGGCAGCAGUGGGGAAUAUUGCGCAAUGGCCGGAAGCCUGACGCAGCGACGCCGCGUGGGGAAUGACGGCCUUCGGGUUGUAAACCUCUUUCAGCAGGGACGAAGUUGACGUGUACCUGUAGAAGAAGCGCCGGGUAACUACGUGCCAGCAGCCGCGGAAAUACGAAAGGCGCGAGCGUGGUCCGGAAUUAUUGGGCGUAAAGAGCUCGUAGGUGGCUUGUCGCGUCUGCCGUGAAAGCCCGUGGCUUAACUACGUGUCUGCGGUGAAUACGGACAGGCUAGAGGCUGGUAGGGGCAAGCGGAAUUCCUGGUGUAGCGGUGAAAUGCGCAGAUAUCAGGAGUAACACCGGUGGCGAAGGCGGCUUGCUGGGCCAGUUCUGACGCUGAGGAGCGAAAGCGUGGUGAGCGAACAGGAUUAGAUACCCUGNUAGUCCACGCUGUAAACGUUGGGCGCUAGGUGUGGGGUCUUCCACGACUUCUGUGCCGUAGCUAACGCAUUAAGCGCUCCGCCUGGUGAGUACGGCCGCUAGGCUAAUAACUCAAUAGCGACUGACGGGGGCCCGCACAAGCGGCAGAGCAUGUGCAUUAAUUCGGACGCCACCGCNGGAACCUUACUAGGGUUUGACAUACACCGAAACACUC
rnacentral:rRNA from 1 species